UGCGACAUCUUUCGGCGAUGACUAAAUAUUUUGCGUGUGCCAAGUCGCAUCGUACAAGCUGCUUUAUUUCGAAAAAAACAUUAAACCAUGUUCCAUCGCCACAGAGUGUGUGGCCAUUAAUCGGACAUGCUCAUCUCUUUUUUCCAAUGGGUCCAUAUAAAUUGGAAAGGCUAACUGAUGCUGUUAUGGACUUGAGUAGGCAGCUCGGACCAGUGUUCAAGUUACGUCUCAAUGGUGCAGAUAUUGUUGUGACUGUGGAUGCUGAUGACACCCGAACAAUGUUUCGUCAUGAAGGCCGCCUCCCAUACAGACCGCCAUUUCCUGCAGUUCAGCAUUAUCGACAGAAGACAUUUGGCAGCAUAGGCAUUGUUCCAGGGAAUGGAGAAGAGUGGUACAAGUAUCGUGCAGCAAUACUGCCACUUUUGCGCACAAGUGUUGUCAAGGCAUAUGCUGAUCAGCAUAUGCAAGUGGCAAGAAAUUUUGUUGAUUACAUUCAAAUGAAGAUGGAUGAAAUAUCCUCAGAUAUUAUGACUGAUGUCUGUCAGCACUUGUUCAAAUAUACUAUUGAAGCCAUCUCAGUAACAAGCCUUGGAGUGCAGUUCUGUGAUGUGGCAGCUCCAAAUAGCAGAGAACAUGUUACAAAGGACAUCAUAAAUGCCAGUACAGACUUCAUGGAUGGGUUAUACAAAACAAUGAUUGGGUUCCCUUUAUGGAAAUUCUAUCGAACCCGUGGCUAUCGGCAGAUAGAAUCAUCACAUGAAUGCUUUCGCAGGAUUUUAGAGAACACACUUCAAGAAAUGAAGUACAGGUACAAGAAUAGUCCUGAGCAAAUUGCAUCAGCACACCCUUUCUUAGCAGCUUUAUUUGAUAAUCCAACACUGGAAUGGAAGGAUAUCAUCAUGUUGGGACUAGAGACCUUUGCUGGUGGAAUUGAUGCUACAGCCACCACAAUGGCAAUGACAUUUCAUUACCUCGCAAUUAAUCCUGCAGUUCAGCAGCAAGCAUAUCAAGAGGCUUUAGGGCAAGGAUCAGUCCAGGAGAUGUCCUUCUUACGAGCCUGCAUCAAAGAGACUCUUCGACUCUCUUCCACUGCUGGUGCAAACAGUCGUGUCUUGGCCAGUGAUGCAAAUAUUGGGGGUUAUCUUAUACCUGCUGGAACACUGGUGUCUGCAUUUAAUUCUGUAACUUCAUUAGAUGAAAAGUAUUUUGUUGAGCCAUUAAAGUAUCAGCCUGAGCGCUGGCUACGAGAUUCUUCAGCAAGAAAAGGACACCCUUUUGCAUCUUUACCUUUUGGUUAUGGUCCGAGAAUGUGCCCUGGGCAACGCCUGGCAGAACAGCAAAUGGUGUUAUUGCUGGCAGAGGUGCUGAGGAAAUACAAAUUGGAAUCUGCACAGCAGACCCCAGAUCCUGUAGGGAUGGUUUACCGCAUGAACCGAGUGCCCGACAGACCCAUCAACCUUUGCUUCCGGAAUCGAGGCAUACAGGAGAGGCAGCCUGUGAAGUUAACUUGAUUCUUUACAGACAGCAAACCCAUCAACUGUUAUUAACCUUAAUAAGUAUCACCAACUGUUGUGGAAGCAUCAAAAAAAUUCUAUCCUGCAGGGAUGAGAAAAGAGAAUGGAGAAUGUUUUUGGGAGCCUGAUGAUGUCGAUAUUGGUGAACCCGCAGGCAACUUUUGUUCUUCACUUGCUUCCCACAGUGAGGACAGAAGAAUGGACCUUGAUCAUCUCCAUGAACAUCACGCAUAUGUACCUUCAGGUUGAACUUGUUUCUGAAACCCCGUGAACAUAGGGGACAUUCCAUUAUGUACACAGCACUGUAUAACCAACCUGCACAAAUACAGAAACAUGAUGUUAGCAUGUGUCAUUCGUGCUUUAUUGUACUAAAAUAUAUAAGGACACAUCAUUUUAAAUGUCUGAAAUUAAAAUAGAUAAAACAGC